GAUGAACGCUCGCUACAGGCUUAACACAUGCAAGUCGAGGGGAAACGGCAUUGAGUGCUUGCACUCUUUGGACGUCGACCGGCGCACGGGUGAGUAACGCGUAUCCAACCUUCCCAUUACUGUGGGAUAACCUGCCGAAAGGCAGACUAAUACCGCACAGUCUUCGAUGACGGCAUCAGAUUUGAAGUAAAGAUUUAUCGGUAAUGGAUGGGGAUGCGUCUGAUUAGCUUGUUGGCGGGGUAACGGCCCACCAAGGCUACGAUCAGUAGGGGUUCUGAGAGGAAGGUCCCCCACAUUGGAACUGAGACACGGUCCAAACUCCUACGGGAGGCAGCAGUGAGGAAUAUUGGUCAAUGGACGGAAGUCUGAACCAGCCAAGUAGCGUGCAGGAUGACGGCCCUAUGGGUUGUAAACUGCUUUUGUAUGGGGAUAAAGUUAGGGACGUGUCCCUAUUUGCAGGUACCAUACGAAUAAGGACCGGCUAAUUCCGUG
rnacentral:rRNA from 1 species